rnacentral:lncRNA from 12 species
UAUUAAAAAAUAAAAAUAAAUAAAAUGCAAGAAGGAGUUGGGCGUUUUCAGAUUUUCCUGAUCCCAACAUCAGUUUUUUGGGUUGGGAUCAGCUCUGCCCCAUCAGGCUGGGGCUGGAUUUGGGAUUCACAAAAUUCCAAACUUUCCCCACAUUUUCCCCUUUAUUCCAAAUUUUUAACCCUCCAAGGUCGCCAUGGGGACGGAUUUGGGAUCCACAGCUGAGACCAAGAGGCCCCAAAACCCCCAAAUUCCGAAUUUCCCCCACAUUUUCUCCUUCAUUCCCAGCUUUUAACUCUCUUCUUCCUCCCAGUCCCACCAAUGAGGUUGGAUUUGCCCAAACUGGUUCUGAGAAGCCUCAAAAUCUCAAAAUUCCAAAUUUCUCCCACAUUUUUCCCUUUAGUCCAAAUUUUUAACCCUCCAAGGUCGCCAUGGGGACGGAUUUGGGAUUCAUAUCUGAGCCCGAGAGGCCUCAAAACCCCAAAAUUCCAAAUUUUUCCCACAUUUUUUUCUCCUCAUUCUCUGUUUUUAACCCUCCAGUGGCCAAGUGGGGCUGAGUGGUGCCCGCUGGGCAGAGCGACCUUCAUCAUCCUCAUCCUCAUCCUCAUCCUCAUCCUCAUCCUCAUCCUCAUCCUCAUCCUCAUCCUCAUCCUCAUCCUCAUCCUCAUCCUCAUCCUCAUCCUCAUCCUCAUCCUCAUCCUCAUCCUCAUCCUCAUCCUCAUCCUCAUCCUCAUCCUCAUCCUCAUCCUCAUCCUUCUUCUGCUUUUCUUCCUCCUUUUCCUCCUCCUCAUCCUCUUCUUCUUCCUCCUCCUUUCCUUCCUCAUUCUUCUCCUCUUCCUUCUGCCUUUUCUCCUCCUCCUCCUCCCAUUUUUUCUCCUCUUCCUCCUCCUCCUCUUCAUCCUCCUCCUCCUCCUCCUUUUCCUCCUUCUGCUUUUCCUCCUCCCACUUUUCCUCCUCCUCCUUCUGCUUUUCUUCCUCCUCCUCCUCCUCUUCAUCCUCCUUCUCCUCUUCUUCCUCCUCCUUUUCCUCCUCCUCCUCCCUCUUUUCUCCUCCCACUUUUCCUCCUCCUCCUUCUGCUUUUCUUCCUCCUCCUCCUCCUCUUCAUCCUCCUUCUCCUCUUCUUCCUCCUCCCUCUUUUCCUCCUUCUUUUUCUCCUCCUUUUCCUCCUCGUCUUCUUCCUCCUCCUUCUCCUCUUCUUGCUCCUCCUUUUCCUCCUCAUCAUCCUCAUCCUCCUCCCUCUUUUCCUCGUCCUUUUCCUCCUCUUCUUCCUCCUUUUACUCCUCAUCCUCAUCCUCCUCCCCUUCCUCCUCCUUUUCCCCUUCCUCCUCCUCCUUCUUCUCCUCCUUCUUCUGCUUUUCCUCCUCCUCUUCUUCUUCCUCCUUCUUCUUCUUCCUCAUCCUCCUCCUUCUCCUGCUUUUCGUCCUUCUCAUCUUCCUCUUUCUCCUGCUUUUCCUCCUCUUCCUCUUCAUCCUCCUCCUCCUCCGUCUUUUCCUCUUCCUCUUCCUCCUCCUCUUCUUCCUCCUUUUACUCCUCCUUUUACUCCUCCUCCUCCUUCUUCUGCUUUUCCUCCUCCUCAUCUUCCUCUUUCUUCUGCUUUUCCUGCUCUUCCUCCUCCUCCUCAUCCUCUUCCUCCUCCUCCCUCUUUUCUUCUCUUCUUCCUCCUUUUACUCCUCCUUUUACUCCUCCUCCUCCUUCUUCUGCUUUUCCUCCUCCUCAUCUUCCUCUUUCUUCUGCUUUUCCUGCUCUUCCUCCUCCUCCUCAUCCUCUUCCUCCUCCUCCCUCUUUUCUUCCUCCUUUUCCUCCUCCUCUUCUUCUUCCUCCUCCUCCUCCUUCUUCUCCUUCUGCUUUUCCUCCUCCUCCUCCUCCUCUUCAUCCUCCUCAUCCUCCUCUUCUACCUCCUCCUUUUCCUCCUCAUCCUCUUCCUUCUGCUUUUCCUCCUCCUCCUCCUUUUCCUCCUUCUCCCCCUUUUCCUCCUCCUCCUCUUCCUCCCUCUCCUCCUCCUCCUCCUCUCUAAGAUGGCCGCAGCCCCGAAAUGGUUCUUUGCAUGAGACGCCAUCUGCGAGGCGGCUCCCACGCCCGGCCCGUGGCCUUUUUAUGCAACCCCCCCCCCCCCCCCCCCCCCCCCCCCCCCCCCC